CUUGGUCAUUUAGAGGAAGUAAAAGUCCUAACAAGGUCUCCGCAUGUGAACCUGCGGAGGGAUCAUUACAAGUGACCCCGGUCUAACCACCGGGAUGUUCAUAACCCUUUGUUGUCCGACUCUGUUGCCUCCGGGGCGACCCUGCCUUCGGGCGGGGGCUCCGGGUGGACACUUCAAACUCUUGCGUAACUUUGCAGUCUGAGUAAACUUAAUUAAUAAAUUAAAACUUUUAACAACGGAUCUCUUGGUUCUGGCAUCGAUGAAGAACGCAGCGAAAUGCGAUAAGUAAUGUGAAUUGCUUAAUUCAGUGAAUCAUCUAAUCUUUGAACGCACAUUGCACCCCCUGGAAUUCCGGGGGGCAUGCCUGUUCGAGCGUCAUUUCACCACUCAAGCCUCGCUUGGUAUUGGGCAUCGCGGUCCGCCGCGUGCCUCAAAUCGACCGGCUGGGUCUUCUGUCCCCUAAGCGUUGUGGAAACUAUUCGCUAAAGGGUGUUCGGGAGGCUACGCCGUAAAACAACCCCAUUUCUAAGGUUGACCUCCGAUCAGGUACGGAUACCCGCUGAUCUUAAGCAUAUCAAUAAGCGGAGGA
rnacentral:rRNA from 1 species